CAGAAUUCCGUUACGUUGUGGGACGCUGGGCCGGGGGUCCCAAUCCUCAGGAGUUACCUUGAGAACGGGAUUCAGAGGACCAAGGAAUCCUAGAGCGGCUGUAACCGAACCAAGGUGAGCUCACUCCUUGCAGAGUCAGAAGCUGCACCAGGUUGAAUUGUCCCACGAGGAAAACUUUAUUUGCUGCACUUAUGGAAGUUGAGGUAGCUGGCCGCCAAAGCCAGGGCUCCCCAAGAGAGGCUGCGUGGGCUCCUUUUGUUUAGGGUUAGGGUGAAUAUGUAAAUAGGGCACCCUCGUCUUUGGGAGGGGUAAGUUCACGCAUGCGCCUUAAGGCAACAUGCCCCAACGUACAUUGUUCUGUGAAUGAGGCUUGUGUUACAUUGUUCUGUGAAUGAGGCUUGUGUUCCUCGCUGGGCGGAGAUUUUAGAAUUACAAUGGGGUAAAGGUGGUUGUCAGUCAUUUUGGGGUCACUCCCUGGCCCAUCUGCCUGUGCUGGUUGUGAGCCUCCCCCCGCCCCGGGUGACAUUCCAACUGAUCUAGGUGGUUGGUCUGCGCGGGCUGGAGGGGGGGAGGGGGGUUUCGCUUUCCACCUGCCCGAGGUAAGACCUAAGCUGGAAAAAGGCAAAGGAAGAAUGUGGGACAGAGUUCUGUGAGGGCAGUCAAGGUCAGCUGUUGGGGCCUAGCUGGUGACAGCAUUCACCUACGUUCUGGUGGUGAGUAUUUAACUGUAGCCCAAGAUUAAGUAAUAGUGAAAACGGAGACAGAAUAGUGUUUCAACACCACCCGCUCUGAUUCCGCGAAUGUAUUAUAGCUCACAAAGAAGGGGUCAGAAAGGGGAGAAUUGGUGGAGCGUAAGGCAGGCUUGCCAGUAAGUUCCUGGUGGUGAACUGGGAAUAAAAAGUUUAUCACCUUCAAUUAGAUGGUGAGAGGAGAAACAAAAACGACUUCUAUGUGUUACAUCCCCGAUGCAUAUUGUUUUUGGAAAGGGCAACAGACCCCAAGUAGAAGCACUUUUGCUAAACCCAACCCAGAGACCUGAUGCCUAACAGUGUCGGCGUCUCCUGGGAGUGGAAUCCUAAGGCAGUCGCUCCCGAAUUACCUGGUCAGCACUGGAGAGGCAGUCUGCCCCCGACAGUCCCCGAGUCCCCAGAGGAAGGUGUCCUUGCCACAAACCAUCUAGUCUUUGCUAGUAGCCUCCUUACCCCACCCCCUUCUGCCUAUGAGAGUCCUUCACUUGGUACAGCUCUUCAGACCUCCUUUCCGUCUGCUGGGUGGGGUGUUGCCCAAGUCAUGAAGAGUGGAAUAAAGCCCAUAAGAUCUGAAAAUGUACUGAGUUCAGGGGUGCCUGGGUGGCUCCGUCGUUAAGUGUCUGACUUCGGCUCAGGUCAUGAUCUCACGGUUCGUGGGUUUGAGCCUCACGUUGGGCUCUGUGCAGACAGCUCGGAGCCUGGAGCCUGCUUCGGAUUCUGUGUCUCCCCCUCUCGCUGCCCCUCCCCUGCUCAUACUCUGUCUCUGUCUCUCAAUAAUAAUUAAAUGUUAAAAAAAAAAAGAAAAUGUACUGAGUUGAAUUUUGUUUUUUAACAGAUUUUUGGUGGUGGCAGUGACAGGAUCCAAAGGAGACUUCUGCUAACUUCGGUGACUAUGAGACACGCAGGUGUGGUACCCCCGAGCCACUGUCUUGCAUCUAGCUCCUGAUCUAACUGACUUGACUUUUAUUUUUUUAAUUAAAACACAUUUUUUUAAGUGUUUAUUUAUUUUUGAGAGAGAGAGACAGAGCAGAGUGUGAACAGGGGAGGGGCAGCGAGAGGGGGAGACACCGAAUCCCAAGCAGGCUCCAGGCUCCGAGCCGUCAGCACAGAGACCGACGCGGGGCUUGAACCCAUGCACCGUGAGAUCGUGACUUGAGUCACAGUUGGAUGCGUCACUGACUGAGCCACCCAGGCGCCUCCUAACUGACUUUUCAGUCCAGGGUCAGCUUGGGCUGGUAGGCGGCUCCACCUGGAACCUGAGUCCCCAGCCCUUGGUUAGUCCACAGCCCCCAUCCUUUGGGGUCUGCUGGUUCAGUCUGUAGUACCAUAUGGGGAGUUCCUAGCCGUGCACACCAAAGGACUCUUUCUUUUUUUGGCCACUCUGUAGUAUCAUCUCUUUGGUUACCGCCCGUGUCCACAGCCCUCUUUCUUCAAUUACUUUUGGCUUCUGUUACGGUGCCCGUUAACAGGUGCAUUGACAUUAACCUGCCAACGGGCACAUAGGUAAAAGCUGUCGCUAAAUGGGGAUCUCGAAAGUCCAGAAGCCGAAGAAUUUGUGAGCACGGGUUGGCCACUCGAAAGCUGUUAGAACACUCAUCAUCUAAUCCUCUCUCCUGUGUUUGCAGAAGUUGGUCAUGGAAAUGACAGAGUGACAGUAGGUCACCUGCCAACCUCCAGAAAAUUCCCGCGCAACAAAAUAGACUGUAAGACACCCCCCAGUCCUCAGCCCCGUGGCACACCCCUCGUAGGUAUUCGUUUAGCUCUGAGAGACCCAAGAUUUAACUAAAGAAAGAAAAUCCUUAAAUCCCAAAGAGUUGAACGCAUUAUCUUCUGCUGUGCCAGCUUAUUUUAUGUCUAAGAACGAUAGUCCUGGAAAGUAUGGACGUCUGUACAAAUGGCAAAAUACUACUACCAACAGUCUGGAAUCACAACGUCCAUUAUGAGGAAUGUUCCAAAUUAGGGUGGUUCACGUACGAAGUACGUUUGAAAAGCAAGGUUUCCAAAACCGGACAAACGGAAUGGGAUACUUGUAUUGACUGGGUUGCGGAAGCUUCCAAAGGCUUAGGGAUUCCAAAAUAGCUUCAUUGAAAUAUUCCUUGCAAAAGGCUAAUGAAAAAUUACAGAUGUAAGAGGCACCUACAACAAAAGACAGCAAGACGGACGUGACUUCCUCUGUUCUCUGUCCUCCUUUGAGCACUCAGGGUUUACUGAUUCUCAUCUGAGCUGCCUUUCCACUCUGCAGACGCUAUUAGGCAGUUACCUUUUAAAAUAAAGCCCCCCCCCCCCCCCCCGCCUUCCCUGGGGCACCUGGGUGACCCAGUAGGUUAAGCAUCCAACUUCAGCUCAGGUCGUGAUCUCUUGGGUUCAUGAGUUCGAGGCCCGCUUUGGGCUCUGUGUCGACAGCUCGGAGCCUGGAGCCUGCUUCGGAUUCUGUGUCUCCCUCUCUCUCCUCCCCUCCCCCGCUCAUGCUCUGUCUCUCAAUAAUAAUAAUUUUUUUUUUUUUUUUAAAUCCCUCCCAAGCUGUAGGGGGCCCUCUUCAGGCAUCUUUCACUGCUUGGCCAAAUGCCAAAGUGGGAGCAGUAAAGAACUGUCUACACCCGGGGGGAUCUGCAGAAGUAUUCUGAGGAAUUUGGAGUUCUUCUCAAGGCUUCUGAGCCUGGGCUGCCAGAUCUUUCUCAAGCGUGUGCACCUGUGAGAGAGAAGGACCUGGUGAAGCCUCCAAACGGACGUGGGAGCAGACCGGUGUCACUCCAAGGGCAACAUUCAAGAUUUUUG
rnacentral:lncRNA from 1 species